GGUCAAGUGAAUAAGCGCAUACGGUGGAUGCCUAGGCGGUAGUAGGCGAUGAAGGACGUGGAAAUCUGCGAUAAGCCUCGGGGAGCUGAUAAACAAGCUUUGAUCCGGGGAUCUCCGAAUGGGAAAACCCACCCUGCUUGCAGGGUAUCGUUAACUGAAUACAUAGGUUAACGAGGCGAACCCGGGGAACUGAAACAUCUAAGUACCCGGAGGAAAAGAAAUCAACCGAGAUUCCCUAAGUAGCGGCGAGCGAACGGGGACCAGCCCUAAACUCUUUAUUAACCUAGCGGAACAGUCUGGAAAGUCUGGCCAUAGUGGGUGAUAGCCCCGUACGCGAAAGGUUCUUAAAGAUUAUUCGAGUAGGACGGCGCACGUGAAACGUUGUCUGAACAUGGGGGGACCAUCCUCCAAGGCUAAAUACUAACUACCGACCGAUAGUGAACCAGUACCGUGAGGGAAAGGCGAAAAGAACCCCUGUUAGGGGAGUGAAAUAGAACCUGAAACCGUAUGCGUACAAGCAGUGGGAGCAGACUUGUUCUGUGACUGCGUACCUUUUGUAUAAUGGGUCAGCGACUUACUUCUCAGUGGCAAGCUUAACCGUUUAGGGGAGGCGUAGCGAAAGCGAGUCUUAAUAGGGCGUCUUAGUCGCUGGGAGUAGACCCGAAACCGGGCGAUCUAUCCAUGGCCAGGUUGAAGGUGCAGUAACAUGCACUGGAGGACCGAACCCACCUAUGUUGAAAAAUGGGGGGAUGAGCUGUGGAUCGGAGUGAAAGGCUAAUCAAGCCCGGAGAUAGCUGGUUCUCCUCGAAAGCUAUUUAGGUAGCGCCUCGCGUCUCACUCCUGGGGGUAGAGCACUGUUAUGGCUAGGGGGCCAUCCCGGCUUACCAAACCAUUGCAAACUCCGAAUACCAGGAAGUGCAAUCGCGGGAGACACACGGCGGGUGCUAACGUCCGUCGUGGAAAGGGAAACAACCCAGACCGCCAGCUAAGGUCCCAAAAUUACAGCUCAGUGGGAAACGAUGUGGGAAGGCACAGACAGCUAGGAUGUUGGCUUAGAAGCAGCCACCAUUUAAAGAAAGCGUAAUAGCUCACUAGUCAAGUCGGCCCGCGCGGAAGAUUUACCGGGGCUAAGCUGUAUACCGAAGCUGCGGGUGCUUAUAUUUAUAUAGGCACGGUAGAGGAGCGUUCUGUAAGCCUGUGAAGGUGUGCUGUAAGGCAUGCUGGAGGUAUCAGAAGUGCGAAUGCUGACAUGAGUAACGAUAAUGCGGGUGAAAAACCCGCACGCCGAAAACCCAAGGUUUCCUGCGCAACGCUAAUCGGCGCAGGGUUAGUCGGUACCUAAGGCGAGGCCGAAAGGCGUAGUCGAUGGAAAACAGGUUAAUAUUCCUGUACCGCACAUUACUGCGAUGGGGUGACGGAGAAGGCUAGACAAGCAGGGCGAUGGUUGUCCCUGUUUAAGCGUGUAGGCUGAGAUCUUUGGCAAAUCCGGGAUCUCUUAAGGCUGAGACGUGAUGACGAGCACCUAUUUGGAGCGAAGUUGUCGAUGCCAUGCUUCCAGGAAAAACCUCUAAGCUUCAGGUAAUGCGUGGCCGUACUCUAAACCAACACAGGUGGGUGGGGUGAGAAUCCCAAGGCGCUUGAGAGAACUCGGGUGAAGGAACUAGGCAAAAUGGUACCGUAACUUCGGGAGAAGGUACGCCCCUGCUGGUGAUCAGACUUGCUCAGUGAGCUGGUGGGGGUUGCAAUAAACUGGUGGCUGCGACUGUUUACUAAAAACACAGCACUCUGCAAACUCGCAAGAGGACGUAUAGGGUGUGACGCCUGCCCGGUGCCGGAAGGUUAAUUGAUGGGGUUAUCUUCGGAGAAGCUCUUGAUC
rnacentral:rRNA from 1 species